UGUUGACGGCCAUCAGUUUGAGUCUUCCUAAACAUAUCUGCUCGUAAAGAAACAAAUGGAAGGGAACGAUUACUUUUCUCAGUAUAACCACUGAUUUUUCCUUCUGUAUACGAUGUUGGUUUUUCAGCAGUUAUCUUAUCCAAUCGCUCCAAAGUUUCGCUAAUUGCAAAUUUUGUGCCUGAAAUUCUACUACCAUCGGGGUCCCGAGUAUUUCUCUUAUAUUGAUUAUGGAUCAAUCCCUCCUGAAGUAUUCUCCUGUUGCUAAUAUGUCUAUUUGAACCUUCUACCGAUGCCAUUAUCUCAAGAAAAUCUUCACCAUUUAUCGCAUUGUUUGAAUUAGACAUAUUGGUAGUGUUUUUCUUCUUGCUUACAAUAAAUCGAUUUUCUCUUUCUUGGAUGACUCCAUUCUGGUUCUCGAUAGAUUUACCAAUUUCAUAGAUACCAGAUGGAAUUCCAGUUGGUUGGUAUUGUUGACGAUCAUCAAUUUGGGACAUCCUAAACGUAUCUGCUGGUGUUGAUUGCUGAUCAAUUAUUUUAUCAGUGCCUGCAAUUCUACCACCAUUAUUUCUCGUAUAUUGACAAUCGGACAAUCUCUCCAGAGGUACUCUCCUGAGAUAAAGGCAUGUAUGAUGUUAUCUUUGAUUCUCCAUGGUUAUCUUUGAUUCUCCCUGCAAUUAUUCUCAUGGUCAGAGCUAACCAUGGGGAAAUUUUUUCUGUACUGAAGAGACGUCAAUCUCCUCUCCAGAGGAGUCUCUGAGUCUUUCUCUUACUCACAACAAUUCUGUUUACACCUUUCCUCAUCGGCAUUAUUUCGGGGAAAUCCUCGUCCGGGAUAUUGCUUAACUCUGAGAUGUCUUUCAUUUGAGCAACUCGUCGGAACCAUCUUUGUGCCUUGAUUUCCUCUGAUAUAUCUAGAGGAUCAGGGUCUGUAACAUCUGAUCCUUCCAAGCUUUUUUCUAUGAAGCCUCCAUCACCUGAAUUUACAGACUUCUCAGUGGAUUGACUACUAUGGUCUGCUCUGUUAUCAUCAAUUGACGACGAUUCGUUUAAGCUGAAAUUCGGGUUAUGCUUAAAAUAUGUGCCUUGAGAAUUACUGGUACGAGCAGAAUCAUUUCUGGGAAUAUCAGUAUGUUUAUUCCAUGAGUAUGAAGAUCCACUAUUCUAAGAGGACGAUCUACUCAUCGGAGAAUUUAUAUUUUGGUCUACGUAAUUAACAUCCAACUUGAUUUCUGAAAAAAAAUCUGGUGAUCUUUGAAUACUUUCUAACACUUCAGAUUCAUAUUUUGAACUGGGAUUCCCAUUCCCAUGUUGACUGCAGGAUUUUUCCUUUUUAUCUAAUGUUGAUUGUUGACUUAGUAUCCUAUCUAAAGUUUUGCUAAUUGAAGAUACUUUGCACUUAAUUUUAACCGCAUUGUUGUCUCCUCUGUUUCUUGUAUAUUGAUCGUUGAUCAAUCUCUCCUGAGGCUUCUUCUGUUCAUCAAUUAUACUAUCCAAACAUUCUAAAGGUUUGCUCAUUGAGGAAUUUUUGCCCACAAUUCUACUACCAUCAUCGUCGCUAGUGUUUCUCUUAUAUUGAUUAUGAGCCGUUCCCUCCUGAAGCAUUCUACUGUCACUAACAUACCUACUUGAGCAUUCCCUCAAUGGCGUUAUCUCAGGUAAAUCUUUGUCAUUUAUCACAUUGUUCAAAUUAGACAUAUUGGUGUCACUGAUUUGAGAUGCCUCGUUGAACCAUAUUUCUGAUUUCUCAUCAGUUUCAGCAAGUUUUUGCUCUAUGUCAGCUCUGAUCUCAGUGAUUAUGGUAGAGAUUCCCCCAAUGAAAGGACUUAGAGGACGUUUGCAGUUACAUUUUAAACAAACCAUAUUCUGUCCGUAAUUAAAAAAGUCACAUCUAGAAGAAUGAAAAGAAUUAAUUAGCAAUCAGAUAUGUAUUUCAGCAUUACUUCAUCAAGAUUAAAUUGUAUAAAAAAAUUUAAAAAUCUUACUGUGGACACUCCCACUCUUCACCGGUUAACUGCCUUUUUGGCCUGGCCAUUUGACAUUCAAGGCAUUCCGCAUUCUUUGCAAAAUUCAUGAAUUUACAACUACAAAAAUAUACAUAAUAAAUAGCUAUUUAUACAAAACACAAUUAAGAAGAUUAUAAAUUCAUGAGAAAUAAAAAGUUAAAAACAAUUCAAUAAUAAAAUCAUUUCAAUAGAAAGCAGUUAACUUGAAAAAUCUGGUUGAAGGGUAUAUAUUAUUAAACAUAAAUAUAUAAAUAUUUUAUAAGGAAUAAAAUAUUUAUUUCAAUUGAAGCAUUUAGAAGUUUUUCUAAUUAAAUAUUAAAAAAACCUAAAUCCAUCAUGGUGACUGAUGGGAAAACUGGAAAUAUUGUAAUUAUUUUUUAUGAAGAUAAAAUUUCAUUAGCAACGAAGUGGGUCUUGCUCAGUUUUACAAUAUAAACAAAAAUAGAGACCCCUUAACAGAAGAGUACUACUCAGGAGUGGGCAGUAUCCUCUAGGGGGCAACAACAGAUUUUAACUCAGCCACUGUCUAAUGGUUGAAGUUUUAUAUGUGAGAAAAUUAGGAAAUCAUUUAGACUUACUUUGAACAAAUCCAAUCUCCUCUUUUCAUUUCGAUGUUUUGUCCAGAUAGAAAUGGGGAUUGCUGAAAACUAGUAGAAAACUGAUUAGCAAAAUUUGGUUGCUGAAAACCGGUAGAAGACUGGUUGUGCAUCUCGGUAAACUUUAUUGGCUGAGUUGUUUCAGUUAGAUUGACCAGUUCAUUGAAUAAAUUGUGGACAGAUUCUUCAAAAACCUUUGUGGUCCUAGUAUAUGCUCUUGGGGAAAAUAGAUUGUUAUAGACAUGUCCUAACAAAUAGCGCAUUAGAUCAACUGUUUCAGCUCCCUCAGUUUCAUUAUCUGAUACCUGAAUAUCAGGAACAGAAACUUGAAUUUAAUCAAAAAAACUUACAAAAUAGUAAAAUACGAAGGGGACAUUAACUAUCAGGUUUAUGGUUUUAAACAUUUAUACUUAAUGCAUUAUACAUUACAAUUUGCAACAAAUCAACAAUAUAUCAAAUGUUUCAAUACUAUCAGUCUAUCACUGCUCAGUACUAGUUUAAAUUUCAAAUUUUGAAAUUAUGAUUUAAUAUACAAGUUUACAGGCAGAACUAGAACUAUUCUCUCCAUUUAUUUGACUGCCAUGAGAUUUUCAUUUGAUAAAAGUGAAAAAAAUCAAUUAGAGACAUCAAAUAUGAUUAGAUAGAGACUUACACUACAAUUAGCACUAUUGACAAAAGCACGCAUCCGUCUCAAUGAAUUCAAUGCAAGUUUGAACAAAAUUGGUGAUCCAUUCUCUACAACCAAAUCCACGUCCUUCUUUGUUAGCAAUCUACCAAAAUUCAUAUUUGUCAUCAUAAUAAUCAGAGACAAUAAUCACACAGAUAAACUUUCAAAGAUAUGCAAAGAAUAGAAGUUGGGUACUUCAAACUCUCAGGCCUUUGUCUUGCAAACUUUAAGCAAAUCUCAGCCGAUGCCAAAAACUCACUCGGCAACUUUUCGAACCCAGAGAAUGAAUCAUCCCCAGAAUCAACACCACUUCCUUCACCGCCUUUUCUAAGUUUCUCACUGAAACGAUCAAUCAACCUUCCCCAUUGAGGCCAAGAAAUCCGUACCGCCUCACUCCCAGAGGCUGUCGCCGAUGCUGAAUCCGCGAACGAUGAGGAACCACGGAAUGCCACGGAGGAUGUGUGUUUACGGAAUCUUGAAUUUCCCGCACGGGAUGGGAAGAAGGAUAGAGAACGUCGGUGAUGAUGGAUGUGAAAGGAGGUGACAGCCAGUUGGGUGUAGCAAGAGAGAUUGACUGUGACGGGACGACGCAAGUGGAGGAAGUGGAAUGACGUUGAAACUAAAUUCAUUAUCUUCACCGCUCCUCCCAUUGUAUGUCUGUGCUUCUGCGAAGAUUACCGCCGGGAAGACUGAAUAUGGGUUAUCGCCGGAGAGUACUACCGUGAACCCUUCUCUCUUCUAUUCACCACCCAUUGUCAUUUGUCAGUGUAAAAAAAGAUACUAUGGCAUAUUGGAUUGGAGUACGGCCAUAAGAGGCUUGGUCCGGCCCAACUCAUUUACAACCUUAAUAUAGUUGAGUCAAAUUAUGGAUCAACAAAAUCAAAUUUUAAUGGGUCCGGCCCAAAUAUAGAAUAUGAAGUUUGAGCUCAUCAAACACUUAUUGUGCUUGUGCAUUCCUACUUCUGUUCAUUUAAACUUCCGACGGAGCAAGAACGAUGAGGCAUAGAUCAUUUUAGAAAAUAUCGAGUCAGUCCUCAAAGGUUAUUGAUAGCCUAAACGAUCGUAAGAUCACAUAACUGGAUCAACGCAGAGGGCGUGAGGUAGAUCACAUAUGACCACACCUCUUUUUUUUGCUUUAAAAUUUAUAUAUUACCAUAUUGUUUUAAUUCAAAAAAAAACCUUCCGAUGGUAAGAGAAUUCCAUGUCGAUGUGACCUAACCUUGUAAUAACGACUAAUGUCUUUUCUAGCCCUAGGCACAGAUACACAAAAGGGUUGACCAACAUGAUUGAUUGAAGAACAAGCUUUGGUAGAGGCCAAGGUUGAUUUAGCUUAUUAAUUCACUUACAUGGUUAAUUAAUCAGAUCAAGUACUAAUGUACAUGGUUCAAAAAAGCGGAAAGCGCUUCGGAAGUGUAUUUUUUCAUUUUGGACGUUUAGCGCACUUUAAAACGCCUAGACUCCUACAGAACACUUGAGCAAUAACAAUUACAUAUAUUCAAUGUGGUAUCAUUUGAAAAAGAAGAAGAAAACAAUCAAAUACUGAUACAAGGAAGAGAACUCCUUCAACAUACCUGCAAUUAGGAAAUCCCUCAUUUUGCUUCAUAUCAAAACCUUUUAAAUUUUUCUCUCUGGCUCUCUGAAAGAAACAAAUCAUAUGAAAAAAAAUCAAUUUUCUUCUGAAGGAGAUAAAAAUCAUCUAUAUAUGACUAUACCUACCUGAUUGCCACCUCUUUGAAGUUCUUCAACUUCUUUUAAAUUAAGCUCAAAGAAGCAACCUACGGUUUCUCGAUCGUCAACUGAAGUUGAAUAUCGAAGCUUGGCAGAUGCGAUCAUGCGACAACUGAUCUAGAGUAGAUAAAAAUGAUUAUGAAUGAAUUAAAGAUUCCUGUUCCGAUUCCAUUAAAAGCUUGGUGUGAUAAUAAAGGAGCAAUCGCCUUCACCGGAAAUCAUAUAAAUCAUACCAAACUAAAACAUGUAGCAAUGAACUAUCACUUUAUCCAUGAAAGAGUGGUAGAAAAGUCAUUAGUGGUUGAUUUCGUGUGAUCUAAAGAUCAGAAGGCAGAUAUGUUCACGAAAAGCAUUACCUGGAGCGUCUUUUUCUUAUCUAGCAUCCAACUGUUCCAAGCUCAUCAGUCAAGUCCUGUUAAGCUUGAGAGGGGUGUUAAGGAUACUAUAAGAUAAAUAUUAAUCAGAGAUUAGUAUUAAUUAUAAUUUUGUAUUUAGGGUUUUAAUCACAAUCGAUUAUGCACAUCUCUGGAUUGUUAUUCCUAGGCUCCUAACUGGUAUAAAAGAAGCACGCCCCAAUUGAUUUGUUCACCUCAAUACUGUGCAGAUGGUUGUUGUCACUCAUCAUCAGUUCAGGAUGUCUCCUUCUUACACAUAGCUGCCUGUGUUGUUUGUUGUUCAAUUAUACUAUCCAAACGUUCCAAAAACUUGCUGAUUUGAGAUUUCGUGCCUGUAAUUCUAACACUAUCAUUGCUCCCUGUGUUUCUUGUCUCCAGAGGCACUCUACUGUCACUAUCGGCAUGUUUGCUUGAAGUGCUUGCAUCUUCUUUUGAUGACAUUAUCUCAGGAAGGAAGUUUUCAUCAUUUAUCACAUUGUACAAAUCAGACACAUCAGUGUCUUUCUUCUUGUUUACCUCAUGUUGAUCCUUCCUCGUCCUCAUAGAUAUAGUAUCUGGAAAUUCCUGUUCUUGGAACACUCCAGUCUGGUUAUUAAUAUAUUUUUCAGUUGCAGAUAUCUCAGUUACCCACAUGUCAGAUUUCAAACUAGAAUCUGAAAUUCCAGAUGGUUGAUGUUGACAAUCAUCAGUUUGAGACUUACUGAACAUAUCUGUCGGUGUUUUUUGUUGAUUAAUUAUUCUAUCCAAACGUUCUAAAAAUUUGCUAAAUUGAGGUUUUGUGCCUACAAUUCUACCACUAUUAAUGUCCCCUGUCAAUCCCUCCAGAGGCAUUCUACUGUUGCUAUCAACAUGACUAAACACAUCUUCUUUCAAUGGCUUUAACGCAGGAAGGUCUUUAUCAUUUGUUACAUUGUUCAAAUUAGACAUAUUGAUGUUUUUCUUCUUGCUUACUACAGAUCGAUUCUCUCCAUUCGGCAUAGUAAUGACAUCUCGACAUUCCUCUUCUUGGACAGCUCUAGUCUGGUUAUCAACAGAUUUUCCAGUUUCAGAAAUUUCAGAUGAAGAAGCAUUAACCCAUUUGUCAGAUUUCAAACUGGAAUUUGAGUUUCCAGAUGUUUGUUUCUGUUGACGGCCAUCAGUUUGAGACUUCCUAAACAUAUCUGCUCGUAAAGAAACAAAUGGAAGGGAACGAUUACUUCUCCCAGUAUGACCACUGACUUUUCCUUCUGUAUACGAUGUUUGUUUUUCAGCAAUUAUCUUAUCCAAUCGCUCCAAAGUUUCGCUAAUUGCAUAUUUUGUGCCUGCAAUUCUACUACCAUCGGGGUCCCGAAUAUUUCUCUUAUAUUGAUUAUGGAUCAAUCCCUCCUGAACCAUUCUCCUGUUGCUAGCAUGUCUGCUUGAAUCUUCUACCGAUGGCAUUAUCUUAAGAAAAUCUUCACCAUUUAUCACAUUGUUUGAAUUAGACAUAUUGGUAGUGUUUUUCUUCUUGCUUACAAUAAAUCGAUUUUCUCCUUCUUGGAUGACUCCAGUCUGGUUGUCGAUAGAUUUUCCAAUUUCACAGAUAACAGAUGGAAUUCCAGUUGGUUGGUGUUG
rnacentral:lncRNA from 1 species